GAAUCGGUUGGCAGAAAAGUGGUCACAACACACAAGCCACAGACUGCUGCAUCCAGUCCCAUAAGAAAGAAAGGAUCCCUGCUCAUCCCUACAGAACAACGGCUUUCCUUUCUGAGGGCUGCUAAUGGAUGUCUGAGAGGGGAGAGGGGUCCAGAAAUUUGCCCAAAGGCCAUUCUGAGGAUCGGUUGGCAGAAAAGUGGUCACAACACACAAGCCACAGACUGCUGGAUCCAGUCCCAAAAGAAAGAAAAAAAAUCCCUGCUCAUCCCUCCGGAACAACAGCUUUCCUUUCUGAGGGCUGCUAAUGUAUGUCUGAGAGGGAGAGGGGUCCAGGAAAUUUACCCAAAGGCCAUUCUGAGGUUCGGUUGGCAGAAAAGUGGUCACAAAACACAAGCCACAGACUGCUGCAUCCAGUGCCAAAAGAAAGAAAAGAUCCCUGCUCAUCCGUCCGGAACAACAGCUUUCCAUUCUGAGGGCACACUGAGGAUCACUUGUCAGAAAAGUCAUCAGGAAACACAAGCUACAGACUGCGAAAUCCAGGUCCGAGGGAAAGAAAUUAUCCGUGCUGGUCCCCCCAGAACAGUGGCUUUCCAUUCUGAAUUACGGUGGCAGAAGCCCAAAGGCGGCCCACAGAGGCACUUUCAGAUACACAUGCCUGACUGA
rnacentral:lncRNA from 1 species